rnacentral:lncRNA from 1 species
UGGUGUUUUAACUCCAGUAAUUACCAGAGACAUUUAAUAGAGGGAGCCCAUUCUUUUGGGCUCCUUUAAACACAAGCCUGUGAGGAAUUCAUGUUUUAAUACAAGCCAGAGUGCACACAGAAAAAUUUCAGCCAUUCAGAGGUACAAAAAGCAGUGAUCUUAGCCUGAAACAAUUGCACUGAACUGAAGCAUUACUCCCCUUUCUUAGAUCUACUUUUAAGAUCUCUGUCACAACAGCCCUUCAAACACAUUUGAUUGGGUUGAGGCUCAUCACGCUGUCACCAACUCACUUUUCAUUAGGCUGUUGCUCUCUGUUAGCCUAGCCAAGCAGAAGAACUCAAACACAUGCACAAAUUAAAUCGACAUCCAAACUUCACCAAUAUACAAAGCAAUUUAAAUGAUAUUCAUUAGAGCGAUGACAAGUCCUGAUGAGGCUUUCAGGAGCGGAGUCCUUCAGCUUCUGCCGACUCGGUUUCAUGGUCACUGAGGCGUAACUGCAGUGACUGUACCUCCAGUUUAGGGAAAAAAAGCUGAGAAUGUGACUCUGCUUCCUGACACACCUACCUCAUUCUCUGCACAGGUUUACAUCUGAGCUCAGGCUUCAAGCUUUUCUCACAGUUCCUCACAGGCUUUAUGUUACACACAUGCUUUAGCAAAUCCCCUUUCCCCACCAUCUACAAACAUGCCAAUUAAAAAGAAUUCCAUUUUCAAGCCAUUUCAUUUCACUUGGCUAGAAAGGUCACUAACUCACAAUUGCGAUGGCUAUAAACAUAUCCCCAGUUUCCUACCAUGCACAAUGAAUGGGUAUAUUGAAGGUUAAUAAAGAGGUAUUUUUUAUUGUUACUUUAUACUGAAGUUUAAAAGUUACUCUCUCUCCAUUUAUAUUUUUGAUUCUCCCCAUUUGUAUUUUUGAUACUAAAACAAAACAAAUCGACACUGUCUUCUCCACAGGGAGUGCAAUAGGGCUGACAGGUCUAAUACAGGCUUUUACACAAUGCCAAAUCACUUGAAAUUCAUAUCCCUUGCAACCAAAUUCCUUACUUCAGGCAUCAAGAGAUAAGAAGUAAGAAAAUUAGCUCGAUAUUUGCUUACAAAGUCCACUACACCACUUGCAAAGUUCAAGUGUGUCAGGGAAGAAACGCAUAUCCUUACCCUAAUGUGACACUAAGAAACCCAGUGGGUGACGUGAAGGGCACACAAGCAUUUUAGCUUAGGUGUGGAAGACAUCCCUGUUAGUCAUAAAGAGCUCCACUGUCAGCCCCAGCUCCUGGCUGAUGGUGGAGCUUCUUGCUUUUUGCUUGCUCUACAACCUUUUUUUAUUUCUUGAAACAGGCUAAGAAUUUUAAACCCACUGUAUACAGAAAAUAUCUUGUUAUGUUGUUACUCAAGAUUUAAUUUUUUGGUAUAUCUGCCUUAGGUUGUGACUUUUAAUUUCACUUUUUAAGUGCUCCCACAAUAAAAAAAUAGGCACACUGGUAUGCAAGUAUGGUUUGUAGUUGUGUAUUUUCAUUUCAAUAAAGGUUAUACAUAAACUUGGUGAGUAGUCUGGACAUAUACAUUUAUCCCCAAUAAGUCCAUCUGAUUUUAAUUCUCUUAAAAGAUUAUUUAACCAGAAGUGCAUUUCAAGCUAUAAAUAAGGCAAAGUGAACCAAGCAACAGCUGCUGAGGAAGUUAAUGUGUCCCAUGUACAUGUCAUAAUAUACUGCUGAAAAACAAACAAAACACUGCCCUGACACAUAAGCUGGAUACUAAGUAUAAAGGAAAAUUGAUUUUACAUGUAAAAAACAAAUUUAUGUACCACCACCACUGUAUUUGUGUACAUACAAGAUAAUGAAUACAGCACAUGAGCUACAGAUUAGUAAAACUUAAGUCAUCUUUUUCCUGCUGAACAUUUAGUUAAAAUGAUUGCCCCAAACCAAGGCCUGAAAACAGAUUGUAGCCUCACCGAUCAUUCCAGCGCUUUCAGACAUGCACAAUGAUGUGUUAAUACAUAAUUCUGCUCCAUUCCGUAAAUGACCCUGAUUUUUCCUUCACUGGCAGAAAAUUGACUUCUUAUGCAAAUACUCUUCAAUGAGGGCUCUAGCAUCAUAGCCUUCAACAUACACAAGCUUUUCAUUAUUAUUGGAUAAUUACUGAGAACUCAACGCAAACAGCAGCCACUUCCAGAUUCCGAGAUGGUAGGACUAUAGUUGUUCUCUCAUUUACCUCAACAGGUCAGCCAAGGGCUGGGAGACACAUUUGGCACAAAGUCCAAGGAGAAAAGAAUUUACUGGAGUUUUUUGCUGGAGAUUGUACGUAUUUACUAGCAAUACUCAAGGGAGGUACACAUUUGUAUUUCCACUGCUAAACUGGUACCUGUCCAGUCAAGUAUUAAGAGCUAUUUCAUUCUUUGCUAAGAGAACAAUCCAGUGACUUUUUAACAGCUGAGUCAUCUUGAAACUCUUAUUUUUUUCUAUUUUGCUUCAGAAAUUCUAGUUUCAUGAGCAUUCCCUGUAUUUCCACAGGGAGCAGUGUGGGUAACAGACAACCUAGCAAAGCUCCAGUAUAUUCUUGUAACAAGAAGUUACCCAAACUAAGCAAACAAAAAUAAUUGUAAUAAUUUGGUGUUUUUCUAGGAAAUACAUACGGCUUUUGGGAUGCAUAUUUUAAAAUACAAAAUUUAUUAAUUAAAUUUAGCUUUGUUAUCAGUUGCCUCUGUUCCACUUGCACCGGCUACUUCUUUUCUGUUGCAGCUGAAAUAAGAACUUGCAAAAUUAAAGAAAGAAGAUUUUUCCCUUCAAUAUGUGCCAGUAUGUUUUUAAAUCUCAAAGUAUAGCCAAAUUUUUUGCUGUCAUAAAUUGCAGAGUCAUAUUUGUGUCUAGCUUUCUAUAGCAAGGUACAUAGCCACAUUAAAUGCGACAAAUAAUUCCAUAUCGCUAACACUAAUCUGCCUUGGUUUGGACAAAAAAUUGGGCAUAGUGUUCACCACUAAAGCAACUGCAUAAUUAGAACAAUAUGCUUUCAAUUUUAAUACAAAAAUAAAAUGUAAUGAAGAUCCUAGAAAGAUUUUGGUUUCAGAAACAGUUCCGGACACUAGCUUGAAAAUCAUAUUUCAGUUAAUUAUAGAUUUCUUACUCACUAAAACUUAAAGAUACAUCCACUGAUUUUUUAUUUUUUUUUUUGCUAAAUGUUGACUCCAGCGAACAGCUCUCUAAGAUCUGGCAUAUUGAUUUCUUGUUGUGAAGUGAGCUGUUCAAGCUCCAUUUAAGAUUUUCAUCUUGCAUGUAGCCUUGAGCACAUCAUAGCACCAUAAAUUAGUUAAAUUGCACAUUUAUCACAAAUGUUAUUUUAAGAUACUGCGUAAAUGUGAUGGCUGGAAGAUAUACAGUAUGCUGCAACAAGCCACUACUUGGGUGGGGUUAGACCAGGGUCACCUUUAUACACCUGUGAUUUAAAGGCUUCCCACCCCAUCACAAUUUCAUUUUUAAACUCUUUCUUCAGGCAUUUUGUUUUUGCUCUCACUCAAUCUGCAUAUUUCUAAAUAAAAUAUCCAAUGCAAAGCAAAAGUCAGAAUUCGGAGGCAUAUUUUAAAAGCCAGCAUCCAUACCUUCAUGUUUGUCUAAUAGGAAAAAAAUUAUCUUAACAUAGCUAGGUUGGUGAUUUGGUUAGCACUAAUAGUUACCAUGCCAAUAUACAUAUCAGCGUACGGAAGAAAAGAACAUUAUUCUAGUUCACUGAUUCUCUAAAUUCUUUAUAAUGUAAAAUCACAUUGGUAUGCCAGUCCUCAAGGCUCUGAAAUGCAAGCUGAACUUUAUUUUAAUAAAUUUGGGAUAUGCAGAUCCUGACUAGCCAUUCAUUUGCAAAGUUUCCAGCAUAUUUUAAAAACAUACUAAAAAGUCAUUUCUGGAGCAUACUAACAGGUAUGGUUGCUCCCUGAAUUUCUACCUAGUCUAUCUCCUCACUGCAGACUGAGACCUGGAGAAGUCAGGCCCAGGAACUGACUUUCCCAGAUUAGGUGCAGUUCUAUCAUCAGUGGCAUUUAGUGUUUGCAACCAUUGACCCCUUGUCUGUAUUUUAAGAACAAAUAGAAGGAACACUGCAAAAGGCUCUGUAGUCAUAGGCUCAUAGAAUGGUUUGGGUUGGAAGGGGCCUUAAAGCUCACAGAGUUCCAAUCCCCCUGCCACGGGCAGGGACAUCUUCCACUAGAUCAGCCCUGUCCAACCAGGCCUUGAACACUGACAGGGAUGGGGCAGCCACAGCUUCUCUGAGCAACCUGUGCCAGUGUCUCACCAACCUCACAGGGAAGAGCUUCGUCCUAACAUCUAAUCUAAAUCUCCCCUCUGUCAGUUUAAAGCCAUUCCUCCUUGUCUUGUCACUUGCCCUAUAAAAAGUCCCUCUGUCUCCUGCAUCCCAGAUAAGAGUGUUGGGUACAGAGUUUUUAGCAUUACUAUUGUAAGUCAAUGGUGCAUCUUAAAAAUACAUUGAUUGACAAUAUAUGCAAUAAUCUGCCAGUCUCCUUAUGUGUGAAUUUCUGGUUUGCAACCAAAUACUAUAUUUAAGCUGUUAUAAUUUUCAAAGGAGGAAUUCUCUGCUGUAGAGGUAAAAUGUUUGGCUGCAUUUAGACUGAGAUCAUCUAUUUGCAGGAAGUGUGGACAGCCACCCAGGAGGCUUCCUUAAAGCUGCCUCUCCCAACUAACUGAGAGGGACUCCUGGGAUGGGACAGUCAACUGGCACAACAGCAUGCUGCAGCUUUAUUGCUGGAAUUUGAGCUGAGGACAUAAACAUUGACACACAAAUGACCUUAAAAUCAGAUACAACUGUGCCAAGAGGAGGAAAAAAACCAGAGCCCUCAUCAUUAAUCCCAUUCACUAGGUCUGCUUACCAGUAUUUACUAUUGGAUGAACAGAACACUCAAUUUUUGAAGAUCUGGUGCUAGCCUUUACUAUUACAGAGAAAGAUGAAAAUGAAAGGAAAGGGGAGAAAAAGGGAGUAGAAAGGGAGAGGAGAGGAAGAGGCAAGGGGAAAGGGAAGGGAAAGAGGCAAAGGGAAAGGGAAGGGAAAGAGGCAAGGGGAAGGGGAAGGGAAAAAUGCAAGAGGAAGGGGAAGGGAAAGGGAAAGAGGAAAAGGCAAGGAGAACGGGACCAAAGAUUUAAUUAGUUGCUUACUGGAAGACAGUGGAUUUUUUUUUUCCCCCUAAAGAAAGGAAACGCUGUAUUUGCCAUUCGGAUGCUAGUUAUUACUUGAGACAUGAUUAAGCGCUGUAGUGGUGGUUUUGAUCCCAUGUAACCAUCUCCAGACUCUGAGGUCACCUGACUGGCAAAAGACAUUAUAUACAUGCACUAUAAUACAGGUGCUUUGGAGACGUAAAUUGUUUUCAAUAAUUUUGACUGACUGACCUGUCAACCCCAGUAAAAGUCUGUCAUUAUCAAACAUUCCCGCUUGUUUGUGUUUGUCUGGCAUUUGUUUAUUCAUCUCCUUUUCCCCUCACUACCUGCUGCGAAUGCUGUUCAACAGCACAUAGGGCCAUGAGAGGACUCACUUCAAAAACACAAAGUUGAAGUCAGUAGUCUCAGGUUCCUACUCGUGUCAUUUGAAAAUGCUGGGUAGAUGGAGAGGGGUUUUCUAAGCCAUGAAAUACCCACCAGUGCAACUUGCAGACUCAAUACACUCCGCGGGAAGGUGUGCGAGUAGCAGUAUCCGCCUGGGUCUGAAUACACAGCACAGCAGAACACCUAUUUGCUUUGCCACACGUUGCUCAUAAACCCCGUCCUCACAGUCAGCCUUACCUGAUGUUUAAAAAGGAGUUAUAAUGCUCAUUUAUCUUUUCUGGGAGGAGAAAAAAAAAAAAAAAGUGUUAAUGCAGCCUUUGAAUAAGUGCUGCCCUGCUCUUUAAAUGCUAAAGUUCACUAAAACUCCACUGAUUUAUGUGCAGCUUUUGACUGCCAGCACCUGGCAGAUGAAGAAACCUACUCAAGCUUCAGUCAUAAACAGAUAGCAUACAAUUUAAUUUUAAUGUGCUCGUUAGUCGUAGCACAUUUCAGACAUAAUUGUGAACGCAACACAAAAUUAUAGCAAAAAGACGAUUUUAAUGCUGCUGUAGAAAAAAAGGUUAUAUGAAGAGUCUUAUAAUGGUGCUUCAUUGUCAACAACAAAACAGGGCACAGAGUGCAUUACAGUGUCUGUGCUGUUUACAUGCCAAUAUUUUAUACGUAGAUUCUCAUAUGGUGUCAGCUGUCAGUUACUUCUGCAAAUUAACUGCCAAAAAUGGAGACGAACAGAAUCACUUAGUGUGAUGGUAACCACGGGUUACCUUUCAUAUGCCUAAAGAUAAAGCUGCAGUAUGGAAUCUUGGGAGAAUAAUUAGGCAGAACAAAACAGAAAGUUACCAAUUGAAAUAAAAAGGCAUUCUACAAUAGGAAAUAACAACAAAGGGCGCUUAUAAAUAAGUAAAAGAGGUUAUAUCACAGAAUGCCUCAUAACUUUUUAAGCAAAGUAUUACAGUACAAACAUCUUAAAGGCUUUAUCAAUGUUUAGGAAAUACAGUACAAGUUUUUCAAAUAGAUUUAACCCUUUGAGCACUGAGUUUAUUUUGAAUUUUUUCUUUUGUGUUUUUGUUUUUUUGUUUGGUUUUUUUUUUUUUGUUUGUUUGUUUUUUUUUUUUUACUAAUAAAUACCUUUAAAAGUCAUGUUGUGCAAAACAGUUAGAAUGCAUGCCAGGAAUGCAGUCCGUGGCUUCUGUUUCUUCAGAUGGUUUAACAAAAAAAACCCAAAUACAAACAAAUGAUAGCAACACUAAUAAAUAUGUAUAAUUUAAACAUGAACCUCUACUAAUAUAGAUGUACUGUAUAGCAAAACAAAACAUACUUUGCUUUAAGAAUAAUGUUUCUGAAUACUUUAUAAAUGCUAUCUGUGGUAUCUUUCAUCUUAUAAUUUACAAUGUUUGGAUGUUAAAGGAAAAACCGUUGAUCUAAAAAAUGAAAUAUACAUUAUAUAUAGGUACAGUUUAUACCUGGGUUUUAUCAGGUACAGAACCCACUGUUGCUAAAAAUGCUGAAGAAAAAAGAAAAUGGCAUUAACCACAAUCACAUUUUCCAUAAGAGAUUUUGAAAUCUAUACAAUAUAUACAUCUAUGU